rnacentral:rRNA from 1 species
CCUACGGGAGGCAGCAGUGGGGAAUAUUGGACAAUGGGCGAAAGCCUGAUCCAGCAAUGCCGCGUGAGUGAUGAAGGCCUUAGGGUUGUAAAGCUCUUUUACCCGGGAUGAUAAUGACAGUACCGGGAGAAUAAGCUCCGGCUAACUUCGUGCCAGCAGCCGCGGUAAU